CCCUUAGAGUUUGAUCCUGGCUCAGGACGAACGCUGGCGGCGUGCUUAACACAUGCAAGUCGAACGAAGAGCGAUGGAAGCUUGCUUCUAUCAAUCUUAGUGGCGAACGGGUGAGUAACGCGUAAUCAACCUGCCCUUCAGAGGGGGACAACAGUUGGAAACGACUGCUAAUACCGCAUACGAUCCAAUCUCGGCAUCGAGACUGGAUGAAAGGUGGCCUCUAUUUAUAAGCUAUCACUGAAGGAGGGGAUUGCGUCUGAUUAGCUAGUUGGAGGGGUAACGGCCCACCAAGGCGAUGAUCAGUAGCCGGUCUGAGAGGAUGAACGGCCACAUUGGGACUGAGACACGGCCCAGACUCCUACGGGAGGCAGCAGUGGGGAAUCUUCCGCAAUGGACGAAAGUCUGACGGAGCAACGCCGCGUGAGUGAUGACGGCCUUCGGGUUGUAAAGCUCUGUUAAUCGGGACGA
rnacentral:rRNA from 1 species